rnacentral:rRNA from 1 species
UACGGAGGGGACUAGCGUUGUUCGGAAUUACUGGGCGUAAAGCGCACGUAGGCGGAUUGUUUAGUCAGGGGUGAAAUCCCGAGGCUCAACCUCGGAACUGCCUUUGAUACUGGCAAUCUCGAGUCCGGAAGAGGUGAGUGGAAUUCCUAGUGUAGAGGUGAAAUUCGUAGAUAUUAGGAAGAACACCGGUGGCGAAGGCGGGUCUCUGGGCCGAUACCGACGCUGAGGAGCGAAAGCGUGGGGAGCGAACAGG